rnacentral:rRNA from 1 species
GACGAAGGAUGCAAGCGUUAUCCGGAUUCAUUGGGUUUAAAGGGAGCGUAGGUGGCCUUAUAAGUCAGUGGUGAAAUCUCUCAGCUUAACUGAGAAAUUGCCAUUGAUACUGUAGGGCUUGAGUACAGAUGCCGUUGGCGGAAUAUGACAUGUAGUGGUGAAAUACAUAGAGAUGUCAUAGAACACCGAUUGCGAAGGCAGCUGACGAAACUGUAACUAACACUGAGGCUCGAAAGUGCGGGAUCAAACAGG